GGACCCGCACAAGCGGUGGAUUAUGUGGAUUAAUUCGAUGCAACGCGAAAAACCUUACCUACCCUUGACAUGUCCGAGAGCCCGCUGAGAGGUGGGUGUGCCCGAAAGGGAAUCGGAACACAGGUGCUGCAUGGCUGUCGUCAGCUCGUGUCGUGAGAUGUUGGGUUAAGUCCCGCAACGAGCGCAACCCUUGUCAUUAGUUGCUACCGCAAGGAGCACUCUAAUGAGACUGCCGGUGACAAACCGGAGGAAGGUGGGGAUGACGUCAAGUCCUCAUGGCCCUUAUGGGUAGGGCUUCACACGUAAUACAAUGGCGCGUACAGAGGGUUGCCAAGGAGCGAUCUGGAGCCAAUCCCUUAAAGCGCGUCGUAGUCCGGAUUGCAGUCUGCAACUCGACUGCAUGAAGUCGGAAUCGCUAGUAAUCGCGGAUCAGCAUGUCGCGGUGAAUACGUUCCCGGGUCUU
rnacentral:rRNA from 1 species